rnacentral:rRNA from 1 species
CCCUUAGAUGUUCUGGGCCGCACGCGCGCUACACUGAUGCAUUCAACAAGCCUAGCCUUGACCGAGAGGUCCGGGUAAUCUUUGAAACUGCAUCGUGAUGGGGCUAGAUUAUUGCAAUUAUUAAUCUUCAACGAGGAAUGCCUAGUAAGCGUGAUUCAUCAAAUCGCGUUGAUUACGUCCCUGCCCUUUGUACACACCGCCCGUCGCUCCUACCGAUUGAAUGGUCCGGUGAAGCGUUCGGACCGUGGCCUUUGGACGGUUCGCCGUCUGUUGGCUGCGGGAAGUUCGUUAAACCUUAUCAUUUAGAGGAAGGAGAAGUCGUAACA